GCAUAUCAAUAAGCGGAGGAAAAGAAACCAACAGGGAUUGCCCUAGUAACGGCGAGUGAAGCGGCAACAGCUCAAAUUUGAAAUCUGGCCCUCGGGUCCGAGUUGUAAUUUGUAGAGGAUGUUUUUGGUGAGGUACCUUCCGAGUUCCCUGGAACGGGACGCCAUAGAGGGUGAGAGCCCCGUCUGGUUGGAUACCGAUCCUCUGUAAAACUCCUUCAACGAGUCGAGUAGUUUGGGAAUGCUGCUCUAAAUGGGAGGUAUAUGUCUUCUAAAGCUAAAUAUUGGCCAGAGACCGAUAGCGCACAAGUAGAGUGAUCGAAAGAUGAAAAGCACUUUGAAAAGAGAGUUAAAAAGUACGUGAAAUUGUUGAAAGGGAAGCGCUUAUGACCAGACUUGGACUUGGUUGAUCAUCCUGGGUUCUCCCUGGUGCACUCUUCCAGUUCAGGCCAGCAUCAGUUCAUCGCGGGGGAUAAAGGCUUCGGGAAUGUGGCUCCCUCGGGAGUGUUAUAACCCGUUGUGUAAUACCCUGCUUUGGACUGAGGUUCGCGCAUCUGCAAGGAUGCUGGCGUAAUGGUCAUCAGCGACCCGUCUUGAAACACGGACCAAGGAGUCGUCUUCGUAUGCGAGUGUUCGGGUGUUAAACCCCUACGCGUAAUGAAAGUGAACGCAGGUGAGAGCUUCGGCGCAUCAUCGACCGAUCCUGAUGUUCUCGGAUGGAUUUGAGUAAGAGCAUACGGGGCCGGACCCGAAAGAAGGUGAACUAUGCUUGUAUAGGGUGAAGCCAGAGGAAACUCUGGUGGAGGCUCGCAGCGGUUCUGACGUGCAAAUCGAUCGUCAAAUAUGAGCAUGGGGGCGAAAGACUAAUCGAACCUUCUAGUAGCUGGUUUCCGCC
rnacentral:rRNA from 1 species